rnacentral:rRNA from 1 species
GGUUAAGCGACUAAGCGUACACGGUGGAUGCCCUGGCAGUCAGAGGCGAUGAAGGACGUGCUAAUCUGCGAUAAGCGUCGGUAAGGUGAUAUGAACCGUUAUAACCGGCGAUUUCCGAAUGGGGAAACCCAGUGUGAUUCGUCACACUAUCAUUAACUGAAUCCAUAGGUUAAUGAGGCGAACCGGGGGAACUGAAACAUCUAAGUACCCCGAGGAAAAGAAAUCAACCGAGAUUCCCCCAGUAGCGGCGAGCGAACGGGGAGCAGCCCAGAGCCUGAAUCAGUGUGUGUGUUAGUGGAAGCGUCUGGAAAGGCGCGCGAUACAGGGUGACAG